GGCAGAGCGCGGUGUCGGGCGCCGAGGCGCGCAGGCGCAGUGCCGGCCAAGGUGGAGCGGAGCGGAGCUGAGCGGAGCGGCACGGCCGGGCCCGGUUCCCGGAAGGGGGCGGCUGCUUCCGUCUGAGGCGCGCGCGGGGCCGGGCCAGGCGGGGGCGGGUAACGGGCGGGCCGUUCCGGUGUGGAGUCGUGUCCCGCUUGUCCCGCUGCACUGUAACUCCGAGCCUCAAACGGCAGCUGCUUUCCUUUCCUGCAUCUCUUCCUUUGUUUCAGCCGAAACUCUUUAGGGAGAUAGGGACAAAACAUUGUAGCUCGAUGUCUGUCCCUCCUUCUUCCCAGCUAAUCCCCCAUCUGGAGAGUAGAGGAGGCGUGUCCCGCCAUGAUACUGGAAAGGCCUCAAUGAGCUCUUGCCAGAACCUUCUCUUCUCCAGCCUGAACAACCUGAGUUCUCUCAGCCUUUGUAGGAGAGAUGCUUCAGUCCUCUGACCAUUUUUGUGGGCUCUUCUGGACUCUCUCUAACAGGUCCACAUCUUUCUUAUGCUAAGGACUUCAUACCUGGACACAGCGCUCCACUUUGUGUCCCAUGAAGGCAGAGUAAAAGGGGGACAAUCACCUACCUUGAUUUGGUGGCCACCCCUCUUUUAAUACAGCCCAGGAUACCAUUUGCCUUCUGGGCUGGAAGUGACCUCUCUCAGUCCUUCUCAGCUUGGUUGCUUUCUACAAGUUCUUCUCCCAGUCUGGACUGACGUCUGGCAUUGCCCUGACCCAGGUGCAGCACUUUCCACCUGGAUUUGUUGUACUUGAGGUUCCUGUGGACUCACUUCUCAAGUUUCUCCACCUGGAUAUGAUCUUGUUUUUCUGUUGUGCCAACUGCACCACUCAGCUUCAUGGGUCUGCAGACUUGUUGGGGUGCACUCAAUCCCACUGACAGUGUCAUUGAUAAAGAUAUUAAAGAUCCCUGUACCAAGAUGCACCCCUGAGGGACACAACUCAUCACCAGCAUUCACCUGGACUUAAGAGCACUUUCCACAACUCUGUAUCCAUCCAGCCAAUUCCUUAUCCACUGAAUAUUCCAUCCAUCAAAUCCAUGUCUUCAGUUUGGAGAUACGGAUGUCAUGUGGGACCAGCUUACGGAAGUCUAGGUAAUUUACAUCUGUCAGUCUUUGUUUUUCAACUGUUGCUGUUGCUCAUGGAAGGCCACCAGAUUGGUCAGGCAUGAUUUGCCCUCAGUGAAGCGAUAUCAGCUGUCUUGGAUCAUCUUGUAUUGUAUGUGCUUAACAUUGUUCCAUGAGUAUCUGCUCCGCAGUCUUCCCAGGAAGGGGAAGGUCUCUGGUAUGUCCUUCCCUGGGUUGUCCUUUCUCCCCUUUUUAAAAAUAGGAAUGAUGUUUCUCUUUUUCCAGUCACCGAGUACUUCACCUGACUGCCAGGGUUUUCCAAAUAUGGCUUGGCAACAACAUCAAUCGCUUCACUCAGGACCCUGGGAUGCAUCUCAUCAGACCCCACAGACUUGUGGCUAUUCAGUUUCCUCAGGUGGUCUGGAACCUGCUCUUCACUUUACAGUGAAAAAAACCCCAGUUUAUAGUAUACCUUUCAUUUUUUGCUUGGCUCUGUCCCCUGGCACCUUACCUAAACCAAGUGGAAAAAAUGAACUCUUUAAUACAAAACUAAAAGAAGUAUUUCCAUGAAAAUAAUUAAUAGAAUUAAUUAAGAAUUAAUUUAGAAUUAAUAAUUCCUAUUCAAUUGCUAAUAAAUGACCAUUGUGAGAGAAUCUCUGGUGCACCUGGAAUAUUUUACGGCAUGACUGGCUCCACCGUGUAAGAGAACAACUGAUCAGAGGAGAGUAGGUAUUGCAACUACUUCACUCCAUUGUCUGUAAAAGAACCUAGGGUUCACAGCCCAAGGCAGCAAGAGGUUUGAAUUGCUCUCUCUACCUAAAACCAUACAGGUAGUGUAGUAGACAUUUGCAAUGUGGCUAUAAAGGGUGUAGGUAAUGAAUGUCCUUUGUUAGGUAUUAGCAUAUGUGCUAUUACAGCUCUGCACAUAAAACUCUUGAAGGGAAAAAUUAUGAAGAAUAAUUCAGUAGAGGUGUAAUAAAUUGUGUCAUAGUAGUACUUGCAUUAUGUACUUUAAUACAACUAAGAAAGCAACUGACAAAUAUUUAUUUAAAAAAGCUAAAGAUACAGUGGACAUGUCAGAUAAAACAUGUCUGAAAUUUUGGGAAAAACACUGAUGUGCAACUUCCAUUACCACAGAGCAAAAAAGACUUGCUCUCUUUACUUUAGCACAUAUUUAGUAUCACUUAAUUUAUAUUUAAAGUAUGCAUAAUUUAACACUGUAAUUUUAUCUUAGAUUUCUAUUGACAUGAAUAAAUGAACCACAUUCUUUGGAAAAACAUCUUAUCAUACAUAAAAUAUCCAUUCUUCCUUCAAGUGCUUAAUAAAUCUUCCAGGGUGAGAGAGACUUAAUUUUUCAAAGGGACAAAAGAGUAAAUGAACAAAACCACUUACUAAUUCUCGAGAGCACUCUCCUGUUUCAGCCCAGAAUUGAUUACCCUGGCAUCUGCUGGGUCUGUGGGUGUGUGGGCCUUUGUGUUGUGAAGUAUUGCUGAACUGAAAUCAGUACAUGGACGUAGGAUUUCCUGGUAUUAUGGUUAAUUCUUUGCUUUUAGACUAGUGGCACAACUUCAUUAAAAUUUAUUAAACAACACUUUAUUACCAGUGUGUAAAGAUGCAUAAAAUGUGUUUGUGAAUUAAUGGAGUUUCUAAGUAGCAGGCCAGUUGAAAAGAAAUCACCCAGCCCAAAUCCACAUGUAUUCUGAGCAGAAUCAUCCCCCAUUAAAAGGAAAGAGCUAGAAGCUUUUAUGCACCUUCAGUCUGUACUAGCUGUGAGAAAACACAAGUAACGAGUGAAGAAUAUACUAAACAAUUACUUGACUAAUUAUUAACCUACUUCUCAAGUUUGUGACUUUGUGUGCUUUUCUGUGCUUUUGUGUAAGGAAUAGUCAGAUUUUAAGGACAUAAUACUCUUGAGGUAUAUAACUGGCAUGUCCAAGUGCAGAUUUGGGAUGUAGCUCCCACUUUACACAACCAAGAGAGAUGGCUGCUUUGAGGCAGUGGUGCAUCAGCUGCUUGGGGGGUGGUCAGAUCUCCCUCUGACUGUACCCGUUUCUCUCUGAAAACUAGCAGGAAAAUCUGAUAUGACAAAGUUUAUUUUGGUGCCUGCUGUUAGGCAGUACAACUCCAGGUCUUAAAUGACAGACUACUGGAUUGGAAUUCAUAUAAUCUUAAUUCUACUCUGUGUUGGUUUUGGCUGGGCUAGAGUUAUUUUUCUUUGCAAUAGAUAGUGUGGGGCUAUGCUUGGGAUUUAUGCUGGAAACACUGUUGAUAACAUUGGGAUGUUUUAGUCACUGCUGAGCAGUGCGUAUACAGCCUCAAGGCCUUUUCUCACACUGUCUCGCCAGGGAGGAGACCGGGAGUACACAAGAAGCUGGGAGGGGAUACAGCUAGGACAGCUGACCACAACUGUCCAAAGACGUGCUAGAUGACCCAUACCUUAUUGAGUCAUGCUCAGCAAUAAAAAGUGGGAGAAGAAGAAGGAAGAGUGGGGACACUUGGAGUGAUGGCAUUUCUCUUCCCAAGUAACACAUGGUGGAGGUCUGCUGUUCUGGAGGUGGCUGAACACCUGCCUGCCCAUGGGAAGUGGUGAAUUAAUUCCUUGUUUUCCUUCACUCGAAGCGCGUGGCUUUUGCUUUCCCUAUUAAACUGCCUUUAUCACAACCCUAGAGCCUUCUCACCUUCUGGUUCUCCCCGCCCUCCCCCCACCUUACUGCAGGGGAGUGAGUGAGGAGGGUGCAAGAUAUUUGCCAGCUGGGGUUAAACUACAGCAUACCCUUGCAGUGUCGCUAAUUUGCUCUGAUCUUGGCCAGUCCCUCCAUUUUCCAUCCCAGCUUUUAUCUGCGUUUUACAAUUAGAGGUUAAGCUCUGUAGGCACAGUCUUUCUGAAAAUUAUACAAAAUUUUCAGAAAGGCACAGUCUUUCUUUAUGUUUUUUUCAGCACAUACAGCCUGGGGAAUGUUUUUGUGACAUGCGCAGAUAAAUAAAUAUGCAAUGCAAUACAGAUUCUGAAUGCUACAAAUCAACACACAUAAAGAGGUUGUGGACAUUUGUUCCUUACUCAGUGCAAGGACAUAUAUAAUCUAUCAGCUUCCCAGAAGCUUCACAUCAUCUAUGGCUCAAAACCUGUCACAUGUGUAUCCCUACACUUGCAAACAAAUAUAUACAACCUAAAAAAACCAUAGUGGGAUGACUGUAAUUAGAUUUUGGGUAAUAAGAUUCUUGUAUUUCCUUAGCUCUAUUAUCUGUCCAAAUGACAAUAUUGUCAGUACUCCAUCUGAGAUAGUCAUGGUUCUUAACACUUAGAUCUUUCUUAACAAUUUCAAAAGGUUCAUCCCCAAAUGCAUCAUCCCUAUAGAGAAAGUGAGGUUAAGUGACUUGAAUAACAAGGAAUUAAUGAGUAAUGAUGAGUUUGCAGUCAUUCAUCAUCAACAGAGCUAGGACAAAUUAUAUCAUUCUAGCAGGUGACUAGGAAUCUGGAAAUCUGAGAGUUGAGGGUUACGGCAAAGUUGGUUCAUAAUACAUAAGAAUGGACAAAACAUUUUUAAGACCAUCAUUAAGGAAUUACCAAGUGUCUAAAAAUAUAAAAGCAUUAAAAUGUAUCAUUGAAUGUGUAUUGCAUGUAUUUAUAAGAAGCCUUCGAUUAGCUUCAGUUUUAAAACAUAAGAUAUGAAAAGCAGUGUCAAAUUGUUUAACCAACAUAGAAUGAUGUAAAAUGUGUACUUUAUAUGGAGUUCCUGUGUGCAUGGCAGCACUGUAACAUCUUCAAUUGGAAUUUGUUGGGAUUUAGCUCCUUUAUGGUAUUGCCUUUCCUGAAAAAUGAGUCCUUCCCAGAUGCUAUUUUAUUGAAAUCAGUAUUUGCCACUGAGCGUUGUUUCUUUUUUAAGUCUGCAUGUUAUAUAAUCCAUAUCCUUAUAUAUAUUCAAUCAGAACCCUUAAGCUGAAUAAUCUUCUCCAAACUAAUAUUGGUUUAAAAUUGCUUAAAGUAGACCUAAAUUCAUCUCACUUUUCUGUUAUUAAAAAAGCACAAAAUUUUGUAUAAUUUUCAGAUUUUAGUGUUGUCCAUAUAAUUAUUUAAUAUUUUCCUUUUUUUGUAUUUUCUGCUUUUCAUCUCCUUCUUUUUCUAUUAAUUCUGGUCUUCAUACUUUAUAUGGUUUCAUACUUAUAUCAUGUUGCUUUUAAUGUCUUUUUCUUGUGAUUUUCUAGUCCCUUUCUCCACCUCUUUCUUUCACUGCUAGUUUCCUUCUUCUAUGUGCUACAGGAUAUGCUAGAAUAGAGUCAGGUAAUUUGCAGUCUGGUUUCUAGUUCUGUGGCCACUGUUUCAGGAGUCACUUCCUCUCCCCAUCUUUCUGCAUCCCAGUCUGGAAAAACAAUAAGCUGGCUUCUGUGUGGUUAGCUUUGAGGCAUACUGGUGGAAAGUUCCUUUAAGCAGAAUGUUUGUCCCUCUGUAUUACACCUCUUUUCUACCUCAGUGAUCUCCUCAGUGCUCAUCAUUAUUUUCAGCUGUUCAACUAAUUCUUAGCUCCUGCUUCUCCUUCUCUUCUUCUCCAUCCCCAUCUUCUACCAGUAAUAUUUUCAAUGUAGACCUUCAGCACAGUAUGGGUAUUACUAAUUUUGCCAUUUUGUGCAGAUUGUGCCAGCUACAUUCACUUUCUCUUCAGGGAGAGCUGUGGCAGCUCUCAAAUGAUUGGUUCCAUUGAUUUCACGUUGACUGAUGUCAGUAAAGAACAUGAAUGAUGGUGCAACACCUGAUUUUAGUUAUAAAAAAUAUCACAAAACUCUUAGGAAUAUAAGAGAUAUAGAAAAAGCAACAAAUGUACAGUUAUGAAUAGCAAUCAUGGUGUCCUAUGAAACCCUGUAAAGGGCAAAUGCACACACGUGAAGGCAGCCCUCACAUGUUCUUUCAUGAGGUUAUUUAAAUUGUAGUCACAUGGAUCUUGGGCCUUUGAGAAAAGAUUUAGACAAUAACUACUUGGAGAUUAUAAUACUAAUGUCAAGCAGAAAUCAAAUGUUAGCCAUAUCUUGACUGUGAGAAAAAGAUAUGCCCUGUCUGUGUCAAUGUGUUUCUACAUCUAUGGUAAUUUGCUAUGAACCUAUUUUUCUGAUGUUUGUCUAUACAGCCUUUGGCUUUGAAGAAUUUUAAUCACCUUCAGUGAAAAAGCAGGAAACAGUCAAAUCCUGCCAAUGUUAAGUGUCUCAGACUAUGUGCCAGAAGUGCUAUUCAGUAAGUUGUGAAGUAAAAUUGGCUCCGUCUAUAUGGCUGUAGUGAAAUGAAAUGCAGCCACCAACAUUCUGAUAUUCCUCUCAGGAGCUAAAUAUUCACAAAAUGUAACUGUGGAGAGGAUUUGGAGACUGAAUGAAAGAUGACAAAGCAUAUUGUAGUUUUUAUGGGUUGUAAAGCCAUAAACUAUAGACUGUACCAGACUAAACAAUAGGUCAUAAAAGUUAAGCAGCACUUCCAUCCUGCCCUAGAUGGAAGAGCACCUAAGAUAGAUAAAGGAAUUGUUUCAAUGCUCAUAAUUUUUUGUAAACACUGAUUCAUGUUCCCGUUACAUGUCCAUUUUAUAGCUGUCACUGCUGAUCACUCUAAAAUCCGAUGGCACUUUGUGAAAGAACACAGUUUUAACUCUGACCUCACAAUUACAGCAAAAUCUCUUACACAUCAUGCAGUUCUAACUGGAACCACUGUUUUUCACCGAGUGCCCAAGGCUUCAGCUCUGUAUUUAUACUUACUGUGGGCUGUCAUGUGGCUGCUGUUUUCUCUGGUCAGCAGUUCAGCUGAGGGCUUCUGGAAAGAUGCAAUUCCAAUAAAGUGCUGGAUGCAGGCCAGUAAAGAUAUAUUGCUGGGGAUUUAUUUUGAUUUUAUGCUUUAAAUGAAAAACAAUCAAGACUGGACAUAGGAAUAAUAGAAAAAAUCAACCUCCAGUGUGCCAAAAGAAACCACAAACAAAAAACCCCACCAGUAUUGCACUGAUUUUGGAAUAUCUGGAAUAUUUUCUGAAAUGAUGUCACUAAAAUGUAUAGAGAAUAAGCCAAGCUUUCUUAUGUUCUAUAAUAAAUCUAGAGUAUCUUUGCUGAAAAAAAAAUUGAAUUCAUGCAAGAAUAUGAAUGAGCAAUAUUUUGAUUCUUUCUCAGAAAAAUUACCAUUCAAUUAAAUGAAAAAAAUCAUCAGAAAUGUUAUAACUAUGAAAUUACAAAAUGCCAUUUUCAUAUGAAUCACAAUGUGCCCAGGCCAUGCAUUGUGAAUCAGGAAUUAGCAAGAUGCAGACAACCAUGACAAAAAUCAACCAAGUAGUAAUAAUAACUAAUUUCUCAAAAGGUGCCUGAAGUAGCAUACCCAUUUUACCCUUUAAAAGGGAAUAAGAUAACUUGCAAUUAUUUGAGAGCAAAAGAGGAUUCAGUCUGGGGACAACUUAUUAAGUAACUGUGCACAUGAAAGAUUCUUUCAGCAGCAGUUGAACAGUCAAAGAGAGAGUAAUCCAGAGCAGGUGGGCACAUAGGAUUCAUGCGGUAAUUCCGAUUUUCUAGACUCAUGAUAACGCGUGUCCAGUUGUUGUUGUUUUUUUUUUAUUCCACAAACUGACCCAGUUAGACAUUUGUGUAUUUAAUAUGCCUGAGAAGCUAUAAUUAGACAAUUUUUAAUUAUUCAUCACUCUUAACUCUUCUCUCGAGUGCAGUAAUUCAAUAUGACAGUUCUGAAUAAGCAGCUUGUUGUGAGGAAUUUUCUGACAAUGCUGAAGGUUCUGUUUCUCAUAUGUGAUUUUUUUCCAGUCCUGCAAUUUUAUGUGAAGACUAAUAACUGUCUUAGAAUAUUUGUUUCGUUAUGAAAAUCUGGCACUAUUUCUAUCCUAGAAAAAUGAUACAAAUUCAUUUACCUAAAUACAUACAUUUGAGCACAGUGGAAAAGGGGUUUUUGUUUAAAAGUUAAAGUGUAUUUUAGGCUUAUCAGCCAUACUGUACUGUGACUAAUUAAACUUGAAGUCCUCUGUUUAUUUGCAGAACAGCUAUUAUGCGGAUCAGGUAAGCUGUGGCAUGUUUCCUUCUGUCCUUCUGUUAUUUUGGAAGUGUUCUCUUCAAGAUAGUCAGCAAAAAAUUUACUUUUCUGCUUAUUCAGGAUGUGAUCAAACACUGGAGUUAGUAUCAAGAUCACAGAGACUCCAAAGAGCUCUGGAUAAACAUUUAUGAAAAAUAUGAAAAGUACCACAAAAAUAUUAAGCCAUACCAAGCUGUGGUAUGUCAUAUUUGCACAUACCCGUUCCUGUGAUCUGGACUGAGGCAACCUACUUUAUAUGGGCCAUAGUACAUGUUCUUGCUCAGCAGAAAACAUUUCAAUAGAUUGUUCAAACAAACCUAAGCUAAAAUGACUCCCUAGAAAUGCUGAAAACAUGUUAUUAAAUUCAUGCACCAAUUAACAGGUAAAGCUUAUGAUUAUACCUGUGAUUAUAGCUAUGAUUAUACCUGUGUUCACUGCUAAUGCCACGUUAAAAAGUAAAUUAGUAUUUAAUACCAUACACCAAACUAAUAAUUUUACAGAAGAGUGAUUUAUCAUGAGUGUGGAAUUACAUCAUCAAUUUACUUCAUUACAUUUCGCCUCCUUUUUAAAAGCUGAGGUGCAAAUAUAUUUAACUCACUCAGCUGCACUGACUUUCUCUAAUUAGUAUGCUUGACACCUGUCUGGAGAAAAAUACUACUUUUUGACAUAUACUUCUCCUGGGAUUCCUAGGCCCAUGCUUAGUUUUUUUCUGUAAUCUUAGUGAGGCCAAUGAACUAUUUAGUUUCUACUCAAGUUCCUAGAUACAAUUCAAAAAUACUCUAUUUUAUGUAGUAUGAGACUAUUUCAAGCACUGCAGCAUGACAGAUAAUAGCUAGAAGCAGGUUUGCUCUAAGGUAUCCUCAAACAGAGCCACCCAGGGGUUACGUAGGAGACAUGCUCUUCUUGCUGUAGACCUUGACAUUCCCAAGUAACUAUAUUUUGAGCUAGUGCCUGUACAAAGGUCCAGGAUUAACCCUUGAACCUCACACCACCAUUGUGCACUGAUUCCUAUGUACAAGCAGACUGCAACCUGAGAUGGCCACAAAAUACACAAAUUUUUGUGCAAAUACAAUGCAAACAUUAGCUGUACUAGUUUUUAAACUUCCUCCACUAAAAAGCAAGAUGAUCAACCCCCUUUUGUAGUGCUUUCCUGUUUUGCUGAGUGAUUGUUACUAUCAUACCUCCCCCUGCCUUUGUCCCCCAGUUAAAUUCAAUCUCUGAGAAUACUACACCUUCUGAAAAGAUGGGCAUAGACAUUAUGCUUUAGAUGUGGAAGAACAUGGCUAACAGGGUACCUCUUGUAAAUAGUAGCAGAGGUAAUAUUGCUGUGCUUAUCAAGCCCCAAAUUCAAACACAAACCCAUGGGGACCAGUUUUUUAAAGGAGCAAGAGUUUUGCCUUGCACAGCACCUAUGGAUGCUGUGUUGCAGCUGCUACAAAUAGGAACCUUGCAGUGUUGGUUUCUUGCAAUGUGAAUGGAGAUACAGGGUGGGUUGCAGCCCUUCUAUCAGGAUGAAGGCAUGGGCAAGUGGGGGCAUGUUCCCAGCAAGUGUGCUUGCAAGAGCUGGUUGGGGUCCACUACUUUCUCUUCCUGCAGCUGGCUGAAGUGGCCUGAUUUAUAGGGAACUGUGCUUGCUGUUCUGUCAUCCUCCCUGCAGGAGGAAGAACCUGCCAGUCCCUUCUCACUAUCCCUCCUUGCUGUAUGCAAAAGGACAUCCUUCUCCUAGUCCAUCUCUCCUUCCCUAUGUAGUGCUUCUGGCUCAAAGGGGCCAGAUCUCCGCAGCUGUUGUGCCCACUAAGUCAAAGAAGCCCUUUGUAAUAUUUCUGGUUCUGGGGCAGAGCAAAGUGGGUGGCAUGUUGCACGACUUAAUUUCUUCUUAUUAAUAACUUUGGAUUCUUCCUACCUGUCUCAGAUUGAUGUAUAAGGAAAUUCACUCCUGUUUUUCUCCUGAUGGAGGUAAUGGUUAUGGAAGUAUCACAUCUCAGCAAACUUUCUUUGUACAUCUGGAUUCUGUGUAAGGCCAGAAAGAGUAUUUAUAGGGAGACAGAUGAUGGACUGAAUAUUUUCCUUCUCCCAGCCCUAUUCUCAUUCCUUGCCAUCCCCAAAAACAAACAAACAAAAAAUUGAACCCCUUCAUUGAGAUUAUCCUCUGCAAAAGCACAGGAUAAUUUGUGUUGGAAGGGACCCUUAAAGACCAUCUACUCCAACCUUCCUGCAAUAAGCAGGGACAUCAACUAGAUCCGGUUGUUCAGAGCCCUGUCCAACCUGACCUUGAAUGUUUGCAGGGAGGGGGCAUGCACAACUUCUUUGAGCCAUUUGUUCCAAUGUCUUAACACCCUCAUAAUAAAAAGUUAUCUCUAACUUUUUAUCUCUAAUUAAAUAAUUAUCUCUAACUUUUUAUCUCUAAUUAAAGUGAGCUUUAAUGAGCUCUAGGUGGGUGUAUCUGGAUAUCUCAUGUCUGUGGCAAAGCCUUGGUAUUUAUAAAGAAUACACAUAAGAAAUUGUGCACAAGUAAAGAAAGUCUAAUUGUUUAACAAACUGAAGAUUUGGCUGCACAUCUGUAUUUAAUAUUGAGAACACUUGCCCAUACAAAUCUCCCUGUGCUCUUUUUCUGUCAAGUCUUACAAAAAUUCGAUGUUUGUAUGUGCAAAAUUCAAGUAAAACAUUUUUUUGUUCCUUCUUUGAAGCAUAACAUCUAUGAACUUAGCAAGGUUUUACAUUUGUCCUCCUCCAGCAUUUCUGGUUGCCAUUAUAUUUAGAACAUUUUGACAUGUUUUUCAGGUGUUGUGACAGCUAUUUCUACAAAUGCUUUAAUGGAACAGUUGCGUUUAAAAUACCAACACAGGCCAUGGACUGAAACUCUGAAACUUGUUUAUUUUUGCAUGGUAAGAAUCACAGGUUAGGUGAGAGAAGGAUAUGUGGUAUAAGAAUAUGUUUCCAAGGUAGUUAAAAAAUUACCUGACUUUCAAAAACAAGCAAAACCAACCAACCAAAAAACUCCAUGCAAUUGAAAACCAACCAAAAGAUAAUCCCCAGAAAAACCUGGUGCCUAGUAUAGCCUGGCUCCCCAUUUUUCUUAGGACAAUGGGUUAUAAAGUUUCCUGCCUAAUUUUAACACGCUAGGGGUUGUUUUUUGCAUUGUUUUAUCUUGUUUUAACAUUGUUUUAACUAUUCAGGAGUUAGUACUGAUUGUCUACCAGUUGAGGCUACAUUCAUUAUCAUUACCAUAUUGAUAGUAUGUAAAGACAAUUUAUUGCCUACAGGACUGGGGUUUCUAAAAUACAGAAUUUUAGAAACUGGUCUGAAAUCUGCUAUCUAGACUUUCUGCUGCUGUGAUAUACCAUUCCAUGCUUCCUGCCCUUCCAGUAGCUAAUUUAAGAAUGAUCAUCAUAAAGAGCAGAUCAGCACAACUGGUGUGAACUCAGUAUAAACAUCCUAUUUGUUUCCAUACUUAUUUUUAUUAAUGCUUAACUCAAGCCUUAUUCUGAAAACAAUGUCCUGAAUUUGAACAAAGUGAAAACUCUUCAGCAGUGAGUGUUCUUUGUUAAUUGAAGUGUGGAGUAUGAGAAGUUUUCAGGCAAGAUCUUGAAGAGAACCUGGGAGAGUUUGCUUGCUACUGAAGUGAAUAGCUUUACAAGCUGAAACUUGUAUUCUAAUCUAACCAAGUACUCCUGUGGCACUUACCAAUCUAUUUACUCAGGCAGAUUUUUUCUAAAAUAAAAACACAAGUAUUUUCUUAGUUUAUCCCUAGCUUCACAAUGAAAUUAGCUGACACAUCUAGUGAUCAGCUCAAAAGAUAGGGGAAUGGAAAGCCACUCCUUGCUCCAAAGACAUCUGGUAUGUAAUUACUGCACAAUAAUAUCUUGACAAAUCCAUCCAGUGCUGCCAUUUCAGAGAUAGCUCCAAUCAUAGGUAACCUCUGUGUUUGACAAAAACAAAUAACCAGAGGUUUGCUGUAUGGAGCAUCUGUAUGCUGUGUCUCUUAGCUAGUAAUUUAAGGAAUCUUUCUUUGUCUCUUGUUUUCACAAAUGUGCUAGGAUAACCCACUUCGAAAGCCUGUCAGUAAUGCUCCAGAUGGUCUAUUGCUUUCAUGCAUGGAGAAGAUAGAGAGGACAUUAAAUGGUAAUGAGCUGUUGGAUAACUCAAACUACAUUUUUUUUAAUAUUGUGUGGAAUCUACCAAUCCUUCUCUACUGAUGUUCUUCACAAAGAGGUCAAAUGAGCAAACACAGAGGUGGAUAAGAAACAAGAGACUUGUGACUUGUCUUUGGGAUAAGCCUUCAGGCUAUAACUAUUCUUAAAGCCUGAGAAUAUUUUCUACGCAGCACAGCACUUAUUAAUCAUAAUAGUUAUCAUUAAUAAUAAGUCAUUCAAGAGUUACUGUUUUCUUAUUACCUAAACCAUAUCCUCUAAAGCAAGAAAAUACUGGUUCUACUUCUUGACCAUUGCAGUUUUUGUCUGGUUUUUGCAGCUAAAUCCAUGUUUUCUGUGAUGAACGCGUUGGAACUUUUAUCCAGACAAAAAGGGUAAGUUUGUUUAGGAAUAAAUGCAAAUGAGCAAGUAUGGGCUCAAGUCCAGAGAGGAAUACCAUCUGGAUGGCUUGUCAACAAUGUUAUUUUUUAGCUCAGUGUUCUAAUUCAUUGUAUUUGCCUAUUUUGAUUGGCCCUUUGUGGAGAAGGUUUCUGGAAAAGAGAGGGUAUAAAUGCCUAUAUCCCAAAGCUACAGAUGGAGGUUAAUAGGUUUGAGCUGACUAACAUGAUAAUGUAAAGAGCAGAGCACAAAUACAUGCCUACUUGGAUAGUUUUCAGAAGCUGAGCCAAGGAAAAGUUAUAUUUGAAGCAUCUCUGGUGUCUCUUCCCAUGACCAAGUGAACUACACUAAUUUCCUUUUUUAAGUGACAGAAUUUUUAUGUAUACAAAUUUUUUUUUUCUUUUUCUCAGACUUACUGUUCAUGUUAGCCCAAGUGGGACCACCUGCUACAUAACAUCAAUGAUGUUUUAUGUAGAAAUUCAGCUGGAGAAGGAUGGAGAUGUGAUGGAUGUAAAGUUGGCUCACUUUGAAGAAGCUCCUGUGGUAAAAUUAAUUUUCUCUGUCUCUCAUGACCCUGUACUCUCCCACCUGGCUUCCAGCUGUCAUGUCAGAAAGGUUUUGACUUCCUUUUGGUCUUGUCAUACAUGCAAUCCUAUUCAUGACACUGGCUACCUCUUUAGGCAUCUGAAUCUCUCACCUAAAUGUACAACUCAAUUAUAGAUACUAAAUACUCUAGUGCUAAAUAUUACAGUAAAAGUCAGCUGACAGACUCACCUUCCAAGAAUUUUUGGUAUCACACAUAAAUAUUUUUAUUUUCAUGCUUCAAUGUUGCCAGUAUACAGUAAAUAACAGGGGCUCUAAAAUAUUUUCCUUCCAAGGUUUAGUGCAAUAUAUAUACUCAGUGGAUGUGUUGAAGCUAUUCUGUUUUUUAUUCUGCCUUCUUUAGGAGUAUUUGUAUUUCUACUAGUAGGGAUGUUUUUCUGUCAAAAUUUCUAUUACAUUAUUCACAGAAUAUCACCCUGAAGUUCACAUAUCAUGUUCUGCAGUUGUUACAGAAUUACAGAGAACCCUUCAGGUCAAAGAUAUAACAACAAGAUGUUGUGGGGGGGUGGGGAACAUAAACUCUGGAUUUUGUCACUAAGUAUCCAGAUUAUUACAUUAUUACUGUUAUUACACUGGAGUUAAUUUGUCCAUAAUUUUUAGUUGAAGUCAGCCCUGGAAUUUCAAAUUGUUCAUUUAGCAGGUCUGUUGAUCAGUGAGUGCUGGACAAUAUCACUAGAAUGAAAAUGCAUAUUCAGAGCAUUUUAGCACAAUCAAUAAAGGAAAAACUGGCCAAGGUGCAAUUUUCUUCCUGAAAGAGUAUGAGCAAACUAUUUCUGUUAAUUUUAUCCUCUUUCACAGAGCCUUUGUUCUUCCAAUUAUUAUAGUAGUAUUUUUUUAGCUAUUGCACUGUUAUCUUGGUUUUGAGUGUUGGGGAAGUUUUUUUUAUGCUAACUGUACAGCUACUUAAAAGUAAUGGGGAUCAAGCUUAUCAUUACUAAUGAAGUGCUUAUAGAAGAUUUAUUGCAAAUGGCAAGAAAGAUGAAACUCCUGUCUCUUAUUCCUGUAGGUUUGUGAUGAUUUGGUCCAGCUUCUAAGUGAAAUGAAAGCUAAGGGAUAUCUUGCUUUGCAGGCCCUUGAAAAAGACCUUUAUUCAAUGUCUCUUCUUGACAGGUAACUUACAGUCUAUGCCUUUGUCCCUUUACCUCUACCCACACCCCUUCAUUUCACUAAAAACAAAGUUAACUGACCAAAUUAUAGAGCAGGAUGUGGAAGGCUAAUGAGUUUUCUCCCACUGGGAAACUUGAAGCCUUUGUCAACCCCAGACAAGCAAACCAGUCGAUCUACUGAACUCCUGUGCUUUAUCUAAGGGACUUCCUGGGAAACUGGUUGGUUACAAAGCUUGGGGGUGUGUGCACAUGACCACCCACUGGGAGUAAACAGCGUGUCUGAAAGUCAGCAGUUAUGUUUACAUCUCUCUGUGGCAGAAGUAAAAUAGACCUCUUGGGAUUCUGCUGUUUGGGUAUCUCAUUUUGUCCUCAGGUUUUAGAUCAGGAGGAGUGAGUGGCAGCUUUUCUCCUCCCUUUUCCCAUUUGUCCUUUCAUAGAGUAGAAUUACAGACAGAUGGGGAACAGUUUCCUAAACCUUCUGGUAAUUGUAUAUGGAUUUUCAUUAUUUUCAAUAAAUAAGAAUUGACGGCAGUGCUUUCCUUCUGGAUUUUUGAAGUAUCUUCUCUGAUACCUUGCCUAUUAAGUUACAUACACACAUACCUUGGCAGGUAUGGCCUCCUGUAACUUGAAACACCCUCUUGGAUUAUUUUUAUGGUUUUCCCUUAUGAAGCAUAAUAACACUAUGAACUAAAGUGCUGUAUCCUUGCUGUUCAAUGAUAUCUCAGUUAAUAUUAUUUAUAAGUUAAACAGAUUAUUUGUCCUGUCUAUGCUGUAAGUCAAUGCACUGCAGAGUUAGUGCACAGCUAUGUAAAUGUAUGGCUGUAUGUAUUCAGCUAUAUAAACACUCUUGAAAUCAGAGAGUGGUUCUGUCCAAGUUAGUUUAUCCAGGCUAUUUGUUUGUUCUUUGUUCAACCAGUUGCCACUCUAAUAUUUUUGACCCCCUUAAUUUCUGGUAAAUAGCACACCAUAGUGCAACGUGAAAGAGCUCAGAUACAGGGAAAGUGGAAGCCCAAGUCCCAGAAGUAAUGCAUGUGUGGAGUUGUGGUCUUUUGGAAGCUGGACAUACAAUCUACUUCCAGGAAAACAUUGUCUUCUUUCAAUUAAGAAUACAAAUUAGAAAUUACAUUAGCCUAGCUAACAGUGCAAUGCAGGAAACACUAAUUAAGAUGUGUUUUGAAACAGAACACAGGAUCUAAACAGAGUUACUGAAGUACUUAAUGGAAAAGUAGGACACCUGCUGCCAAGAACUGGAGGUGAUUUUUUUCCUUUUUUUUUCUCCCUUCCCCCCCUGCCUUUUUCUCCCCCUUUUUUUUUCUUUUCCCAUUUCUGAAUUCAAAGAAUUGUAAUCAAAACACACUACUGAGUUGAUCUUUCUGUAUAGGAAAGAUCCUCUACUAUAAAUAAAACCUGCUGUAGUGACUUACUGUGCCUGUAUUCUCAGAUAACAUACAUAUAUACAGAACAUAUAUUAAACAGAUAUUGUAAGUACUCUUACAAGGAAUCCCCUCUGCCCAUCUACAGUGUUGGUUUUUUCACCUUUAUGUCAAGGUACCCAACACAUUUCCUCUACUAACUUGCAUAGUAACCAUUAUUUUUUUAUUCCUCAGGAACCCCAAUGAACAUUGAAUUUUACAUUUCUCCCUAUCAAGUUUUGGAAGCAGAACUAAAUCACGGUAAAGCUAUUUCAGCUAUUCUGCUCUUUCAGCAGAAAUAGCUAACAAGAGAUUUUCAAUACUACCUGUUUCAUUUAGUAAAGUUAACUAACGAAAGCUCAGAACUAAAGGUUAAAAUUCUAGUUUAGUAGAACAGUUUAUGUGAUGCAUUUUAGCACAGUUUUAAUGUCCCUCAGAAAACUACAUUCCAUGUUUUGGUUGUUGAUUCAGCUAUUGCUGCUAUCAUCUUUGGGCAACUUUGGCUUUUUGGCUGUGGUCAGUGUAGGCUUCUCUUCACUGCCCACACCACUGUGGCUCAGUUGGAUCUGACUUUCCAAGUCCUUACUAUUGUAUAUUUUGUAUGCAUAGGAUUAAUAUACACUAAAUUAAGGAAAAUAAUGCCAUUCUCUUUCUCCCUCAGGUUCCCAGGUAUGUGGAACUAAAACAGUUGUAACUGUUGAAGGCACAGAUUCACUCCACAAACUGCCUCUUUCUCCAUUAAUUAUAGAUCCUCAUGCUGGAGAGGACAGGUGAGACUCUGGACACUUGUCAAUACAGAAAUGGAUUUACAAGUCCCUGGCACUGACUUCCACAUAAGUUACAUUUAGUCUCUGCUGAAACAGAAAGUUCUGUUUCAUUUAUGGCUUUAUGCUCCAUAGCUACACUGUCUAUAAUCUGUGGCUUUUAGUUUUCCCAAAUGGAUUUUGAAGGUAUUAUGUUCAUAUUUAACUGUGUCAGUUGCAUUGAACUAUGAAUUUAUUCAUAGAUUUGAAGCCAGAAAGAGACACUGGAGCAAUAUUAAUGAACUUCCUAGUAUUCAACAAGAUAUAGAUUCACAGUAAAGAAAGCAUUUACUGAGAGAUAUUACACCUAAAAUACACAAAAUAGUUUGUCAUCCCACUAUGGGACUGACACCUCAUCUCUCCCUACCUCAGUGUUGUCUGGAGGGGAAGUCUGAAGUAACUUUCUGAACUAAAAUACUUUAAAAUUAUUUGUAAAAAACACCACCCAGUUUCUGUGUCUCACUUUUCCUUUCUGUCGGUUUUCACAUUAACCAUGUUUUAAACUAUUAACGUUGCAUUUAUAAAGCAAAACACUUCUCAAGUUCCAUACAAGAAAAUGUAUGGAACACAAUAUACUGCUAAUAGUGGCCUUGCAUUAGGAAUCCUUGUUAUGGCAAUUUCUGUAAAAAACUUUCGUUCUGACAAUUUUUUUUCCUAGCAACCCUGCUUUUUUGCAACUGACUGAUGAACUAAGCAUGGAUUUGCCAGCUCAUUUUGUUCUGAAGUUUCAUCAGCCUAUUCCAGUGUCUUCAUCCAGUAUUGAAGAGAUACAGAAGCUCACAGGCUUGUUAUAAUUGUUUUUUAAGACUAAGUACUUCUGUGACUAUGCAAUGCUUAUUUGCUUUUUCCUUGCCCAUGUUAAAGUUGCAAGAAGUUGCUUCUUGGGCAGAACAUAUUCUGUUCUACCAGUCCAAGUGUAACAACCAAUGCAAAACACAAAAAUUCUAAAGCUACGACAAGUACAGGCAAAGUUAAACACUCUACCUCAAAUUCCCAAUAGCAAAAAUGGGGAAUAAGAAAAAAAAUCAAUAUUUUUGUCUUUUCAAAACAUUGGGUUUGUUUUUAAUAAUAGCUUUCAUAACCUACUGUCUUAACCUAAUUGCUAAUAAAAAUAAUGACCUGGUUUCAGGAAUUCAGAUUUCUGGCUUGAAACUAGCUCCACUGUAUGAGCUAAUUGUUCAGUCUACUCUUAAAGAAAAAUGCAGUGAAGACUUGUCUACAAAUAAAUCUUGUUUCUUUGUGUCUCUUCCAGAUCACCCAAAGCACUGUUACUUCAUAAACAAGGGCUCAGCAAAAUCAGGUUUAGCAGGAGCCUUGGUCAAUAAAAUCCCAUUUAGCCAUCCAAAGUGUGUGCCUGGCAUAAUAGAGAUUCUUCGACAUCAAGUGGCAUAUAACACUCUUAUCAGUAGCUGUGUCUCUGAGAAGCCCAUAAAUGAAGGUAAAUUGUGUGGCUGGAAGUGAUGGCACAGCAUUAGAGAGAAACUAGUUUCUAAAUUGGGUGUUGACAGAUUUUACUAGUCCCUUGCCAAAACUGUCAUUACUUGUGGAGUACUGUAAAAGAUAAAAUAUUCUUAACACUGUAUUGAUUUUUUAAAAAAAAUUCUAUGCUCAUUCUAUGUACAUAAACUAAGUCAUUGAAGUAAUGAAAAAUUAGACUACUGCAUCAGUAUUUUUAAAAUUCUGGCAUAUCAUUCAGCCAAAAAGAACCCAGCUUCAAUGGUGGAUAUCACUAAACAGUAUUUUUAUUUCUAGAUGAUUCAGAACUGCUUUACUUUGAAGUGGUACCACACAAGAACACCAGCUUUUCCGUCUUUUUCCUUCAUCCUGUGAAAGAGAAUUUAGCCUGUGUGGUAAUUGAUGUUAUAACCUCUAGAGAAGUCCAAUGUCACCUUCAUUUAAAUCCUCAAGAUCCAACUCUAAAUUCUACUGAUGACUUCAUAGCAAGAGCUGUGAAACGGUUAGUAUUUUUAUUUCGUAACAGAUGUCCAUUAAAUGGAAAUAUCAUGUGCACUCAUAAUGCCAUGAACUCAGCAACUGGAAAAACGUCACUCUAAUAAAGUGCUGUAAUACAGUAAUGGGAAUAAGUUACUUCAGUGUUUUAAGUAUCUCUUUCAAAAAUUUUAAACAUUAACAGUGAUGAAGUGUUUCUAGUAGAAAGCAUGUGGAAGCAAAGAAAGACUAUUGAGUGAAGAGUUUUACCUUUUAAAAAGAUGCUUUUCUGAAGACUCUAGCUGAUGACAGGCUCAUGUCUAGUGUAACUUCAAAUAGGAUGGAAAGGUCUUUUUACAUACCUAUCUAAUAGCAACCAGUGCUUCUCUUCAGAAAGUGAGUUGUAUAUGGCAUGUCUACAACACUGACUGGCUUGUUUUCUGAACAAAUUCCAAGACAGCGAGUUGUUGUGACACAUGAACAUAGCUAGACAAACUGAUUCAGAACAUAGUCUAAGAGCACUAAGUGAUUUGGCAUAAGCUAGUACACAACUAUCAUCUGUUUGAUGACAACAAAACCAAUGCAGGUUGGAUUUUGAACCUGAUUUUAAACAAGGUAAUAUUUUUGGAUCCAGGAUAUGAGUGGGAAAAAAAUCUCCUCCAGUAUAAACAGUGUUUUAGAAAAGAUACCUUCUGUACCUGUGUUACACAAAACAU